GUGCUGAAAAUAUUAAUUUAUUAAAGCAAUGACAUUUAUAAUAAGUAAAAUAAAUUUAAUUCAAUACAUAUUACACUUAACACAGAAUAAUGUAAUAUUUUCUACAGUUCGCCUACACUGUUUCGCUUCCAUUUUCACUUCAUAUUGUAUAAUUUAGGGUGCCUUUAUAUACUCUAUAGUUUUAUUCACAUGUUGUUGUCUAGAUUAUGUUUUAGAUUACAAUAUUAUCUAGAUAGUUUGUACAUUGGCUAUACAUAAUACUAUUACCUAUUAUAAUUAUCUAGUUUAUUAUUGUCGAACGGAUAGUAGAACUGUCCACGCAGUUCACACCGCCCCAUUAAAGUUAAAAUAGAAGAAAAAAAUGCAUCCAGAAUAUUAUGAUAAUAUCAUAAACGCGAAAUCUUUGUUACCCUGAUUCGAGCUUAUUUAAUUUUUGUGCAAUAUUAUUAUAAUUAUUUUCUAAAUCAAAAUUGUAUAUUUUUAAAAAUACACAGUUAACAGAUUAAACUCAACGAAAUAAAUAAUUACACUUGUACUUAAACAGCCAUAAAAUUAAAAAAUAUACAUAGGUUUAUUUUGAUUUUUUUUUAUACAAUGUUUAUUUAUUACCGAUUGGCUAUUUUCUUGGAGGAUUUCAAGUGAGUAGGAUUUCUGAUUUUUAAAAUCGUUAUAUAAUAAUGCUGAAGCUUUAUUAUUUUACAAUAUUUUCAAUUUGUUUACAUUUUUACUCAGUACACCUUAAACCAUCACUGUGUAUCAUCGCAUCGCUUUCGAUUUUGAGGACCACACACUCCAUAUUGAAUACAGU